rnacentral:rRNA from 1 species
GUGGGGAAUUUUGGACAAUGGGCGCAAGCCUGAUCCAGCAAUGCCGCGUGCAGGAAGAAGGCCUUCGGGUUGUAAACUGCUUUUGUACGGAACGAAACGGUCCUGGCUAAUAUCCGGGGCUAAUGACGGUACCGUAAGAAUAAGCACCGGCUAACUACGUGCCAGCAGCCGCGGUCAUACGUAGGGUGCGAGCGUUAAUCGGAAUUACUGGGCGUAGAGCGUGCGCAGGCGGUGCUGUAAGACAGGCGUGAAAUCCCCGGGCUCAACCUGGGAGUUGCGCUUGUGACUGCAGUGCUGGAGUGCGGCAGAGGGGGAUGGAAUUCCGUAUGUAGCAGUGAAAUGCGUAGAUAUGCGGAGGAACACCGAUGGCGAAGGCAAUCCCCUGGGCCUGCACUGACGCUCAUGCACGAAAGCGUGGGGAGCAAACAGGAUUAGAAACCCCUGUAGUCC